GUGCUCACUUUGGCAGCAAAUAUAUUAAAUGUGGAAUAACACGAAAAAGAUCAGCAGCGCGCUUGCAGAAAGAUGACAAAUAGAUUCAGGAAGGAAAAAAAUGGUGU
rnacentral:snRNA from 1 species